UUAAUAAUGCAGAUGACCAAGGCUUUUUUCUUAAAGUAAGUAUCAAUAAAUUGUAGUGAAAGCACUGGAAUUCGCAGAAAAUAUGAUCUUGAUGUUCAGAACCGACAUUGGCAUUGUUUUGGGUGUUGGGCUGGCGAUUGUUGUCCUAUUUCUAUGGAUUAUCUUGGUUCCUAGGAUCACGAGAUUCAAACCAGUGUAUGUUAAAUGCGACCAAUUUCAAAUGACAGUUGUUAUUUUGGAAGUGAAUGUUGAUUCCAUUAUUCCUCUAAAGUGUAUAAAACUUGAAAAGAAUUUACAUAAAGAUUAUUACAUAUCCAUACCAUAUGCAGUUCCAAAAACAAAGAGGAUUUUCCUGAUAGAUUCCGAAUGUUACUAUCAAAGAUGCUUAAGAUACAGAGUUAAUGUUCAAAAUUUUAUAUGGUCGGGGUACAGUGAAGAAA